rnacentral:lncRNA from 1 species
AUGGGAUCCCAAUGGGGUCUCUAUGGGGUCUAUUCAUCCCUAUGGGUCUCUAUGGGUCUCUAUGGGUUCCUGUGGGGUCUGUAUGGGUCUCUAUGGGGUCCCUAUUGGGUCUAUAUAGGUCUAUGGGUCUCUAUGGGUCUCUAUGGGUCUAUGGGUCCCUAUGGGUCUCUAUGGGUUCUCUAUGGGUCUCUAUGGGGUCUAUUCAUCCCUAUGGGUCUCUAUGGGUCCCUAUGUGUCCCUAUGGGUCUCUAUGGGUCCCUAUGGGUCCCAAUGGGGUCAAUGGGUCUCUAUGGGGUCUAUUCAUCCCUAUGUGUCCCUAUGGGUCUCUAUGGGUCUCUAUGGGUCCCUAUGGGGUCAGUGGGUCUCUAUGGGGUCUAUUCAUCCCUAUGGGUCUCUAUGGGGUCUAUUCAUCCCUAUUCAUCCCUAUGGGUCUCAAUGUGUCCCUAUGUGUCCCCAUAUAUCAGGCUAUAUCCGCGUUGUGCUGUCGUCGCUGUCGUUCCUAUUGAUGCCCCACUCCCCGGUUCCCGCUGCUGUGUGCUAUGGGCUCAGCGCCGCCAUGGGCACCUAUGGGCUCUAUGGGGCUCUAUGGGUCUCUAUGGGUCCCUAUGGGUCCCUAUGGGUCCCUAUGUGUCUCUAUGGGUCACUAUGUGUCCCUAUUGGUCCCUAUGGGUCCCUAUGGGUCCCUAUGAGUCUCUAUUGGUCCCUAUGGGUCACUAUGUGUCCCUAUGGGUCCCUAUUGGUCCCUAUGGGUCCCUAUUGGUCCCUAUGGGUCUCUAUGUGUCCCUAUGGGUCUCUAUGUGUCUCUAUGUGUCCCUAUGGGUCUCUAUGGGUCCCUAUGUGUCUUUAUGGGUCCCUAUGGGUCUCUAUGGGGUUCUAUGUGUCCCUAUGUAUCCCUAUGGGUCCCAAUGUGUCCCUAUGGGUCCCUAUGUGUCUCUAUGUGUCCCUAUGGGUCUCUAUGGGGUUUAUGUGUCUCUAUGGGUCCCUAUGGGUCUCAAUGUGUCCCUGUGGGUCUCUAUGAGUUGCUAUGGGGUCCCUCUUGGUCUCUAUGUGUCCCUAUGGGUCCCUAUGGGGUCUCUAUGGAUCUUUAUGGGGCUCUAUGGGGUCUCUAUGGAUCUCUAUGGGUCCCUAUGGGUCUCUAUGGGUCUCUAUGGGGUCUCUAUGUGUCCCUAUGGGGUCUCUAUGGGGUCUCUAUGGGGUCUAUGGGUCCCUAUGUAUUUCUAUGGGGUCCCUAUGGGUCCUUAUGGGAUCUCUAUGGAUCUUUAUGGGGUCUCUAUUGGUCCUUAUUGGUCUCUAUGUGUCCCUAUGGGUCCCUAUGGGGUCUAUAGGUCUCAGUGGGUCCCUAUGUGUCCCUAUGGGUCCCUAUGUGUCCCUAUUAGUCUCUAUGUGUCUCAAUGGGGCUCUGUGGGGCUCUAUUGGGUCCUAUAG